AUAGAAUAGAGACCACAUGAUAUUUAUUAAUAGUCACAGUGGAAACUGCCUGGAGGCCGUGUGCACUGUAUAAAGAUAAAAAAGGACAAUAGAUACAAAAGCCAUUCAAUGACCGCCACACUGAAUCCUGAGAGAAACCAUGAUAUAGCAUGUAGUUUAUGUAUAUAUAUUUAUAUCUAUGAGACAGGUUUUAGUGAUACUGUUUUCGGCGUACUUUGUAUGUCAUUCGCUUCUGCUUUAAUCAAACUAUGUUCAGAAAUCCGUAGAAAACAAAUGCCUAUCAGCAUAAAUAGCAUAAAUAGUCACAAACUAUUUUUUUUUUUCUCAUAAUUUACAAAAAUACACAUUUAUGAAGUCCACGUGUGUUUACAAGAGCCUCAGUGCAGUCGACAUGGAGGAUAUAAAAACUAAGGCAAGGCCCACCUGGGAUCACAUCUGCAUUAAAUGUGCUGUUACUGCAUUUGGAAUCGGUCUAAAUAAAGAGGGGAGCCCUUCGCAGCGGGCGCGGCGUUCUCACAGGAUUUUUGUUUUGAGGUAACGGCGGUCUCACAAAGGCAACUUUGGCAGAUUUUGAGUUGAUUAUGAAUACGAAUAAAGAGGUUCAGCAUAUGAAAUCAAGUGCAAAGCAUUUGGCCGCUCCAGAGAAACAUCGGGCUAGAUUUGGCAAAACGGGCAAAAAUAUAUACAGUAUAUAUAUAUAUAUAUUUAUAUACAGCGAAUAGAUAAACAUUUGCAUCUUAAAAGGAUGAAACAGGGAGAGUGUGGCUGUGAGUCUCCGUUGAAACCGCCAAAUAAUGUCAAACAGAUGCUCAAAAUAUUACACAAACAUACGCGUUCAGUAGUUGUUACUUUGCAAACAUUUCAGCGUUCAGGAGAUUUGAUGUAGAUAAAGUAAGUGCUCUUUUUUUUGUUGUUGAACUUUCCGGCCGGUGUUCCUCUUCGAGUGCUCGUCAAGUGAAAUCAAGCUGAGCUAAAACACUCUCCAUGACCUCUGACCCCCCCCCCCUCUCGCCCC
ensembl:lncRNA